ACACUCUUAUAAAGAAUGUUUCGUUCUCCUCUUCAACCGACGUAAGAUUUCACAGUUGAACUGCCAUGUAACUCUCUUCUACUUCCGUGUUCAUCUUAUCCAUUAAGAAGGUGAAAAAAGACCAGAAUGCUUAGAAUGCAAGAACUUGAAAACUUGUAAACCAAAAGAACUUCAAAUGGUUAGAACCACUGGCGAACUCGGAGGGAGCCCGAUCAGGCAUAUUAUCGUCACUCAUCGAAGGACCGCCGCCAGCGCCGCCCUGAUACACUUUUCAAUGAUGGGAUUACAAAUACCCUCAAGCUCCUCCAGCUUGUCCUCGUGCUCACCGUUCAUCAACCUCCGCCAACUGGUUCCACUCAAUCAAUCAUCUCCUUCACAGAGUUCUUCACCCCUGUAUUGGAUGAUGAAAGUCCCACAUCGGCUAAUUUAGGGAAUGAUC